rnacentral:snRNA from 1 species
AAUUGUUUUUCUUUAAAAAAAAAAAAAUCUAAACAAGCUCUCAAGGUCCAUUUGUAGGAGACCGUAGGGUAGUCAAGCUUCCAAGACUCCAGACACAUCCAAAUGAGGCACUGCAUGUGGCAGUCUGCCUUUCUUU